GACAGAGGAUGCAAGCGUUAUCCGGAAUGAUUGGGCGUAAAGCGUCUGUAGGUGGCUUUUUAAGUCCGCCGUCAAAUCCCAGGGCUCAACCCUGGACAGGCGGUGGAAACUACCAAGCUGGAGUACGGUAGGGGCAGAGGGAAUUUCCGGUGGAGCGGUGAAAUGCGUAGAGAUCGGAAAGAACACCGAUGGCGAAGGCACUUUACUGGGCUAUUACUAACACUCAGAGACGAA
rnacentral:rRNA from 1 species